rnacentral:rRNA from 1 species
GAUGAACGCUGGCGGCGUGCUUAACACAUGCAAGUCGAACGAAGCAUUUAGGACAGAUUACUUCGGUUUGAAGUUCUUUAUGACUGAGUGGCGGACGGGUGAGUAACGCGUGGGUAACCUGCCUUGUACUGGGGGAUAGCAGCUGGAAACGGCUGGUAAUACCGCAUAAGCGCACAAUGUUGCAUGACGUGGUGUGAAAAACUCCGGUGGUAUAAGAUGGACCCGCGUCUGAUUAGCUAGUUGGUGAGAUAACAGCCCACCAAGGCGACGAUCAGUAGCCGACCUGGGAGGGGGACCGGCCACAUUGGGACUGCGACACGGCCCAGACUCCUACGGGAGGCAGCAGUGGGGAAUAUUGCACAAUGGAGGAAACUCUGAUGCAGCGACGCCGCGUGAGUGAAGAAGUAAUUCGUUAUGUAAAGCUCUAUCAGCAGGGAAGAUAGUGACGGUACCUGACUAAGAAGCUCCGGCUAAAUACGUG